rnacentral:rRNA from 1 species
UACGUAGGGGGCAAGCGUUGUCCGGAUUUACUGGGCGUAAAGAGCGUGUAGGCGGCCAAACAGGUCCGUUGUGAAAACUGGAGGCUCAACCUCCAGACGUCGACGGAAACCGUAUGGCUAGAGUCCGGAAGAGGAGAGUGGAACUCCUGGUGUAGCGGUGAAAUGCGCAGAUAUCAGGAAGAACACCUAUGGCGAAGGCAGCUCGCUGGGACGGUACUGACGCUGAGACGCGAAAGCGUGGGGAGCGAACAGG